CCCUUAGAUGUCCUGGGCCGCACGCGCGUUACACUGAUGCAUUCAACGAGCUUAUAACCUUGGCCGAGAGGCCUGGGCAAUCUUGUUAACGUGCAUCGUGAUAGGGAUAGAUUAUUGAAAUUAUUAAUCUUGAACGAGGAAUUCCUAGUAAACGCAGAUCAUCAAUCUGCAUUGAUUACGUCCCUGCCCUUUGUACACACCGCCCGUCGCACCUACCGAUUGGAUGGUCCGGUGAAGCCUCGGGAUUGUGGUUCUGGCCGCUUUAUUGUGGCGUGACCGCGAGAACUUGUCUAAACCUUAUCAUCUAGAGGAAGGUGAAGUCGUAACA
rnacentral:rRNA from 1 species